rnacentral:lncRNA from 1 species
UACUAAGAGGAAUUCUACACUGUCACACUUGCACCACGUCAUCAAUAACAAGUCAAUCACAUUUUUUCUUUUCAAAUAAAAGUACAAUAAAAAUAUUUUUUUUAUAAUCAUGAUAGAACAUAUACUCCGAAAAAAAGACAUUUGAUUAGUUUUCGCCACAUCACUAAUAUACUCGUUGCAUUCUAGAAUUUUUCAGCUACUAGACCACUAUUUGUAAAAAUAAUUUAAGAAACAAAGAUA